AUUGAACGCUAGCGGCAUGCCUUACACAUGCAAGUCGAACGGCAGCACGGGGGCAACCCUGGUGGCGAGUGGCGAACGGGUGAGUAAUGCAUCGGAACGUGCCCAUCGAUGGGGGAUAACUGCGCGAAAGCGUUGCUAAUACCGCAUACGACCUACGGGUGAAAGCAGGGGACCGCAAGGCCUUGCGUCGAUGGAGCGGCCGAUGCCGGAUUAGCUAGUUGGUGAGGUAAAGGCUCACCAAGGCGACGAUCCGUAGCUGGUCUGAGAGGACGACCCAGCCACACUGGGACUGAGACACGGCCCAGACUCCUACGGGAGGCAGCAGUGGGGAAUCUUGGACAAUGGGCGAAAGCCUGAUCCAGCAAUGCCGCGUGUGGGAAGAAGGCCUUCGGGUUGUAAACCACUUUUGGCGGGAAAGAAAUGGUCUGUGCUAAUACCACGGAUUGAUGACGGUACCCGCAGAAUAAGCACCGGCUAACUACGUG
rnacentral:rRNA from 1 species